UUGUACUAAUCGGGCGGAAGUUGGUUCUAGGAAACACCUUCGAAAUGCCAUUUCUGACCUUUAUUCCUCUUCCGGAAAUUUCGAGUUGGGAAUCAAGGUUGGGGGUUGGCCUGAGGGGAGGAGUCGACGCCUCUGGGAGGUUCCGGGUCGGCACUGUUAGGUGGUUGAGACUCAAACGUGUGCUAAAGAAGUGGGAAUUGUGGCAUUUACGCAAAAGCUAAGACUCCCAGGGAGAGGAAAAUAAAAAGCAAUCUCUACACUCAGUGUGAGGCUUGAACUCAGGACCUGGAGAUCAAGAGUCACAAGCUCUACUAACUGAGCCAGCUAGGCCCCCCGCUACUCCUAUCUAUAUUUCCUGUUCUCUCCUGUCUCAGAGGGAGAGGAAGAGCUGAAGCAGACUCCCCACUGAGCACGAAGCCUGGAGCAAUGUGAAGCCAGGAGGGAGGGGCUUGAUCUCAUGACCCUGAGAUAAGACCUGAGCUGAAACCAAGUCGCCCAACUGAGUCAACCAGCUACAGAAACCAUUUGUGUGGCCUGUGAAUUUGUACAGAAUACACAGGACAGAGAGGAGAUGGCGCCUAGUAGGUCAACCACAAAAUAGGGCCAGCCAGGCACCCCAUGAGGUCUUGAAGAAGUAAGAAAACUCACUGUGCUUCCAGAGGAGUUGGAAGGCUGCUGAGCAGAACUCUGAAAUAAACAAGAUACUGACCAAGCAGAUCUCUCUGGAGCCUGUCGAGGAUGGGAAGACAUAGUCUGAGGCACAUGAAUAUGAUGCCCAUGACCAUAGUUUGGGUGCAUCCUAUGUGGAUGGGGUGGGGGCCGUUCAUGUGCCCGCCUGGAAACACAGAACACAAAAAGACCACUGGAAAUAAUUGAAUAAUUGGUUAUUUCUUAAUGUAGAAAAAACAAUCUAGUAUUAUUAUAAACAGAUAUAAAUAAGUAAUAAAAUUACUUCUAUAAGAAUAUAAAAUUAUAUAAUGAUUAAUAAAUAAAUCAAGACACCGUAACACUACAAUUCUCAGUGCUUAUUACCAUACCUUCAAUUCAAGUAUCACCCAACGAAAAAGGCAAUUUUAACAUUAUCUUGUAUACCUUCUUUAUAGUGGGUAUUUUAAACAGAUUAAAGGAAAAUCAAUGGGAAGAAAAUUUUAAAAAACACCCCAGCAAAUGCUGUAGGCACAAAGAAGUUAUCUUAUAUAGACAUAUAAUGGAAGAAAAUGGAAACCAUUUUGCUUUGCUUCUACAUUGUAAUGACAUUCAUCCACUAUAAUGGCUAAAACUUAUUUUAAGAGAAAAAACGUUGAACCUUGUGCAUGCAAAUACAUGUCAACACAUCUGGGAAACUGAUAUAAGCUCCAUUCACACUCUUUACUCUGCAUCCCAGAUUAUUGUAUUUUCUCUUUUUAGUCUAAAGUCAGCCAAAUUUAUAAAUAUAAAUAGUCAUAAAGGUCUAAACAAAUAGCACUUAAAAAACAAAACCAUUCCAGAGAUUCAUUUUUACUAUCUAAUCUCCUAUUUUCUAUCCGUUUCUAAUCCACUUACAGAUUUCGCAUGUUUAAGCUAAAUGAUUUAAAGAUUUUCUAGGCACUGGCAGGGUCACCAAUUUUAACAUGAAUCUCUACUAUGGGAUGCUGAAGAAACUGACAAACAAGAAACUGAUUUACAAAAAUAAAUGACCCUGGGCCAUUUCCUGAAAAUGGUUUGAUUUCUUUAACUAACCUGGUAUCAACUUGUUUUGUGAGCACCUGCAACUCAGGACAAGAUAAAGGAAGAUUCUAGUUAGUAAAGAAUUCCCUAGGAUUUAGUACAGUUAUAUCACUUCUAAAGAUUUUUAAUUUUAAAAACCAACAGAAAUAGAAGGAAAAGGAACACAAAGUGAUCUUUUAAAAAAACAAGAAACCUACGUUGGAUGCUGCAUCAUCCUCCUCCUUUGAACUUCCAUCCUCUGCAUCACUUCAUGAGGAUGCAGCCUCUGCGCUGGAGGUGCUGUGGCUGGAAUAUGGUGUGAAAUUGGCUGGUGUGUGGGAGGAAGAUGCUGAGGGAUUGGUGCGGCCGUACUGGCUAAAUGAGUUGGGGGUGGGGGUGCCACGGGGUGAGAAGUUGCAUGAGAAGAUAUCUGAGAAUGGAAAGCAUGUACAGGAUGAGGAAUAACAUAAUCCACUUGAGGUGGAGGCUGAGUCGGAGGAGGAGGGUUUCCAUGAGAAUGGGGACAGGCAGAGGCUUGAUGAUGAAGUGGUCUUGUCAAAGAAGCAUCUGUUAAAAAAAAAAAAAUACAGGCACCACACCGUU